rnacentral:rRNA from 1 species
AUGGCACUGGUGCUGCAUGCUGGCAGUGGAAACAAGAAUGUGUUUAAGGCACUCAUUGCCGCUGAAUACAGCGGCGUCAAUGUUGAGUUGGUGAAGGAUUUUCAGAUGGGUGUCUCCAACCAUACUCCAGACUUUCUCAAGAUGAAUCCUAUCGGAAAGGUUUCUGUUCUUGAGACUACUGGCGGUCCUGUUUUUAAGAGCAAUGCUAUCGCACGAUAUGUUGCUCGCAUGAAGGCUGACAACCCACUUUACGGAUCUUCACUCGUGGAAUACUCGCACAUUGAGCAAUGGAUUGACUUCUCUACCACGGAGGUUGAUGCUAACAUUGGAAAAUGGCUGUACCCACGUCUAGGAUUCUACCCAUAUGUUGCAGUGAUAGAGGACACAUUUAUUACUGCCUUGAAGAGAGCAUUGGGUGCCCUUGACACACACCUUGCUUCAAACACAUAUCUUGUUGGGCAUUCCGUGACUCUUGCUGAUAUUGUGAUGGCAUGCAACCUUUACCAUGGCUUCACUCGGAUCAUGACCAAGAGUUUCACAUCCGAGUUCCCUCACGUGGAAAGGUACUUCUGGACCAUGGUUAACCAGCCAAACAUGAAGAAGGUCAUGGGGGAUGUGAAGCAGGCAGAGUCUGUCCCACCAGUUCAAAACAAGGCUGCGGCACCAAAGGAGCAAAAGCCCAAGGAUGCCAAGAAGGAAACAAAGAAGAAGGAAGCCAAGAAGGAGGCCCAGAAGCUAGAGCCAGUUGAAAAAGCAGAGGAGGAAGAAGCGGCACCAAAACCAAAGCCAAAGAAUGCUCUUGAUUUGCUUCCUCCAAGCAAAAUGAUCCUUGAUGAAUGGAAGAAGUUGUACUCCAACACCAAGACCAACUUCCGGGAGGUUGCCAUAAAAGGCUUCUGGGAUAUGUAUGACCCGGAGGGCUACUCCCUGUGGUUCUGCGACUUCAAGUACAACGAGGAGAACACCGUGUCCUUCGUGACCAUGAAUAAGGUGGGCGGAUUCCUGCAGCGGAUGGACCUGUGCCGCAAGUACGCCUUCUGGAAAAUGCUUGUGAUAGGCUCCGAGCCACCCUUCAAGGUCAAGGGGCUUUGGCUCUUCCGUGGCCCUGAGAUCCCCCAGUUUGUCAUGGACGAGGUGUACGACAUGGCCCUCUAUGACUGGGCAAAGGUUGAUCUCUCUGAUGCGGCGCAGAAGGAGCGUGUCAGCGCCAUGAUCGAGGACCUUGAGCCGUUUGAGGGCGAGGCGCUGCUGGACGCGAAAUGCUUCAAGUGA